ACUGACCCUUUUCGGACUCAGCCUGCCUGCACCCAGGUGAAGUGAGCAACAGCCAUGUUGCUCACACAAAGCCUGUUUGGUGGUCUCUUCACAUGGACGCGCAUGAAAUUUGGUGCCGUGACUCGGAUCGGGGGACCUCCCUUGGGAGAUCAAUCCCCUGUCCUCCUGCUCUUUGCUCCGUGAGAAAGAUCCACCUACGACCUCAGGUCUUCAGACCGACCAGCCCAAGAAACAUCUCACCAAUUUCAAAUCCGAGCCCAAGCUGAGAAUCUAUAAGAGCAGGAACAAAAUACUUUUCUUCCCGAGUUGUGGCACCUGUAUUCUUUUAAAUCCCUGAUGGAGGCAAUGUGACAAAGCAGAAAGUCAGGCAGACGAGGAUUCUAAAUGUAGCUCUGGACUACGUAUGUGACAUUUUAAUUAUUAAAACUCCCUGAUGC
rnacentral:lncRNA from 1 species